rnacentral:rRNA from 1 species
UACAGAGGUCUCAAGCGUUGUUCGGAUUCAUUGGGCGUAAAGGGCGCGUAGGUGGCGCUGUAAGUCGGGUGUGAAAUUUCGGAGCUUAACUCCGAAACUGCAUUCGAUACUGCGGUGCUUGAGGACUGGAGAGGAGACUGGAAUUCAUGGUGUAGCAGUGAAAUGCGUAGAGAUCAUGAGGAAGACCAGUGGCGAAGGCGGGUCUCUGGACAGUUCCUGACACUGAGGCACGAAGGCCAGGGGAGCAAACGGG